rnacentral:rRNA from 1 species
AGUAGCACGCUCAAGACCCGAAGCGGAGUGAUCUAGCCAUGGGCAGGUUGAAGCGGAGGUAAGACUUCGUGGAGGACCGAACCCACCAGGGUUGAAAACCUGGGGGAUGACCUGUGGUUAGGGGUGAAAGGCCAAUCAAACUCCGUGAUAGCUGGUUCUCCCCGAAAUGCAUUUAGGUGCAGCGUCGUGUGUUUCUUGCCGGAGGUAGAGCACUGGAUAGGCGAUGGGCCCUACCGGGUUACUGACCUUAGCCAAACUCCGAAUGCCGGUAAGUGAGAGCGCGGCAGUGAGACUGUGGGGGAUAAGCUCCAUGGUCGAGAGGGAAACAGCCCAGAGCAUCGACUAAGGCCCCUAAGCGUACGCUAAGUGGGAAAGGAUGUGGAGUCGCACAGACAACCAGGAGGUUGGCUUAGAAGCAGCCACCCUUGAAAGAGUGCGUAAUAGCUCACUGGUCUAGUGAUUCCGCGCCGACAAUGUAGCGGGGCUCAAGCGUAGGAAGCGAGUUGUGGACGGUUCACGAGUGAGAAUGCAGGCAUGAGUAGCGAUACAAACGUGAGAAACGUUUGCGCCGAUUGACUAAGGGUUCCUGGGUCAAGCUGAUCUGCCCAGGGUAAGUCGGGACCUAAGGCGAGGCCGACAGGCGUAGUCGAUGGAUAACCGGUUGAUAUUCCGGUACCCGCUGUGAAGCGUCAAACAUCGAGCAUCGUGAUGCUAAGGCCGUGAAGCCGCCCUGAUCUCUUCGGAGUUGAGGGGAGUGGUGGAGCCGCUGAACCAAGCGGUUAGUAGGUGAGUGAUGGGGUGACGCAGGAAGGUAGUCCAUCCCGGGCGGUGGUUGUCCCGGGGUAAGGGUGUAGGACGUUGGGUAGGUAAAUCCGCCUGACAUUAAGUCUGAGACCUGAUGCCGAGCCGAUUGUGGUGAAGUGGAUGAUCCUAUGCUGUCGAGAAAAGCCUCUAGCGAGUUUCAUGGCGGCCCGUACCCUAAACCGACUCAGGUGGUCAGGUAGAGAAUACCGAGGCGUUCGGGUGAACUAUGGUUAAGGAACUCGGCAAAAUGCCCCCGUAACUUCGGGAGAAGGGGGGCCACUUCUGGUGACCGGAUUUACUCCGUGAGCUGGGGGUGGCCGCAGAGACCAGCGAGAAGCGACUGUUUACUAAAAACACAGGUCCGUGCGAAGCCGUAAGGCGAUGUAUACGGACUGACGCCUGCCCGGUGCUGGAACGUUAAGGGGACCGGUUAGCUCCAUUUCGGUGGGGCGAAGCUGAGAACUUAAGCGCCAGUAAACGGCGGUGGUAACUAUAACCAUCCUAAGGUAGCGAAAUUCCUUGUCGGGUAAGUUCCGACCUGCACGAAUGGCGUAACGACUUCUUGACUGUCUCAACCAUAGGCCCGGUGAAAUUGCACUACGAGUAAAGAUGCUCGUUUCGCGCAGCAGGACGGAAAGACCCCGGGACCUUUACUACAGUUUGAUAUUGGUGUUCGGUUCGGCUUGUGUAGGAUAGCUGGGAGACUUUGAAGCUCGCACGCCAGUGUGGGUGGAGUCGUCGUUGAAAUACCAGUCUGGUCGUGCUGGAUGUCUAACCUGGGUCCGUGAUCCGGAUCAGGGACAGUGUCUGAUGGGUAGUUUAACUGGGGCGGUUGCCUCCUAAAGAGUAACGGAGGCGCCCAAAGGUUCCCUCAGCCUGGUUGGCAAUCAGGUGUUGAGUGUAAGUGCACAAGGGAGCUUGACUGUGAGACCGACGGGUCGAGCAGGGACGAAAGUCGGGACUAGUGAUCCGGCGGUGGCUUGUGGAAGCGCCGUCGCUCAACGGAUAAAAGGUACCCCGGGGAUAACAGGCUGAUCUUCCCCAAGAGUCCAUAUCGACGGGAUGGUUUGGCACCUCGAUGUCGGCUCGUCGCAUCCUGGGGCUGGAGUCGGUCCCAAGGGUUGGGCUGUUCGCCCAUUAAAGCGGUACGCGAGCUGGGUUUAGAACGUCGUGAGACAGUUCGGUCCCUAUCCGCUGUGCGCGUAGGAGUCUUGAGAAGGGCUGUCCCUAGUACGAGAGGACCGGGACGGACGAACCUCUGGUGUGCCAGUUGUCCUGCCAAGGGCAUGGCUGGUUGGCUACGUUCGGGAGGGAUAACCGCUGAAAGCAUCUAAGCGGGAAGCCUGCUUCGAGAUGAGGACUCCCACCCCCUUGAGGGGUUAAGGCUCCCAGUAGACGACUGGGUUGAUAGGCCGGAUCUGGAAGCACCGUGAGGUGUGGAGGUGACCGGUACUAAUAGGCCGAGGGCUUGUCCUC